ensembl:lincRNA
AUGACACCAGGACCUCCGGCGGCGCCGCCGACCCGACAAGGACCUGGGAGUGUCUCCCGCCGGCGGCUCCUGGGAGGGGCCCUGCGGACGCACUUUCCCUCCGGGCGCCCCGGGGCUGCUGCCCGCCCCACCUCCACCCCCCCCUGCUGGACCGAUCGUCCCCGGGACUGGGGGGCCGGCGGACGGGAGACCCAGGAGGGAGCGGGGGCCUUGGUGCAGGCCCGGUCCGGCUCCCUCCCGGGACGUCCCGUCUGUCUGCCCCGCGCGCCCGGCGGGACGAGGGACCGCCAAGGCCUGACCUCUCCAGCGAAGGAAGGACAGGAGCCAGACGUGCUGCUCUCUCGGCGUGGGUUGGUGCUCGCCCGAUGGAUUCUUUCUGUCUGUACAGCCGCGCGUGUGCAGAGGCGGGGGGCAGGGGGGGGGGGGGAACCCGGAUGGAGACUGGCGUGGCGUGGCGGCGGCUGGGAGUCGCCCUGCGUUAAUUAGCGGCGAGGUGCCGGGGGGCACAGGAGGGCUCCGUCUCCGAGAGCCGCUGCAUGCUGGGAGUCUCCCUCCCCUCCCUCCUCGGAGGGCAACUGUGGAGUUACUUCGCCCGUUCAGUUGGUGAGGCCUCAUGGGGGGCUGGGCCCCAGAGCCACCCCGCGGCUGCGCGCCGCCCUCUCCGCGCGAGGGAGCGGGCGGGGCUGUCAGAGCUGUGCGGAUCUCCGGCUGGGGCCCUCUUGUGUCCCCAGCGUCGUGACGCGCGCGCUUGGCACCCCUGUUUCGCCGCCCGAGCAAGGACUGGCCAAGCCUGGGGGAGAGAUGCCGGAGGUGCGUUCUCCCUCCGUGUCCCGUCCAGCGGCGGGGACACGGCCACUACUCGACUCCGGCCGAUUUAAUCUUCCCCUGCCCGUUCAAGGGGCAGCGUCUUCAUCGGAUGUUGAAAUCCGCGAUUGGCUUGUGGUUGGCGGAGAAUGGGGUCAAUCAAAUGGUCUCAACCAAUGAGGUUGGCGAGGGCGGGCGGGGCGGAAUAAGCGCCAGCCGACGCCCACUUCCCUGCCGCCAUCUGCAGCAUGGCGCCCCCUGGUGGCCAAGCCUGAUAACGAUGAGUGCUUGCUCCACAUGAAUACUUGAGUACGUGGCUGCAUUCAUGAUCAUGCUGCUUUAGAUGUUACAAUUGAGAGGCCGUGCAACUGAAGCCCUGAAGUACCUUCACAGUUUCCCCCUAUAUAUAUUUAUAUGUAUUUGUGUAAACUAUAGUCCUCUGAGAAGAUCUCCAGACAGAGACAGGGUCUGGAGGACUAGGGAUGCCAACUGAAAAAAAAAAAAGAUUACUCUUCAAAGUAUAUAUAUAUAAAUGAUUUUCGUAUGGACGUCUACUUUAUACUUUUUAAAAUAAAAUAACUUUAAAUAAAGGCGGAAACCGCAGUCCUGCACCUAGAUAUAAUCUUUUCCCUGAUGGCAAAUUGUAAGAGUUUAAAUUAACUAUAAACGGAAAUUGUGUAAAAUGUAGAUUUUAUGACUGAGUAGUUAUUGAUGAAUUUAUGUUAAAAUGAUACAUGUCUCAGUCUUCUGCCGUUUCUUUAUAACUGGGGAUCACUGCGGUUUUGUGUAUUCCAAUUAAAAUGAAAGCAAAUAUUUAUUUAUUAACCUAAUUCAAAGCAGAAUAUCUUUAAUGUAUGUAUCACCAGGAGCAAGAGGUCAGCUCUGGAGCAGGAACAGAGAUGUAUUAGGGAUGUCGGAAGAGAAAGACAGACACUGAGAUCCAUCUUUUAUAAGGCUUAUCACGGCAUUUAAAAUCCAGAAUCGUAUUGCUGCCUCACAGCCCUGGGGUCCUGGGUUCAAUUCCAGACCUGCAAUGCUGUCUUUGUGGAGUUCAUAUGUUCUCCCUGUGUUCGAGUGCAUUUUCCUCUGGGUGCUCUGGUUUCCUCCCACUCCUCCCACAGUCCAAAGACAUACUGGUGGGUUAAGUGACUUCUUGGAAAAUUGGCCCUGAUGUGUGUGUGUGUCUGUGUGCCCUGUGAUGGACUGGUGUCCUGGCCAGGGUGUGUGUCUGUGUGUGUUCUGUGAUGGACUGGUGUCCUG